rnacentral:rRNA from 1 species
AACGAACGCUGGCGGCGUGGAUAAGACAUGCAAGUCGAACGUUGCUUGUCAAAUAGUAAUAUUUGGCUAGCGACGUGGCGAAAGGGUGCGUAACAUGUGGGUAAUCUGCCGUAAAGUUCGGAAUAACUUGUUGAAAAAUAAACUAAUGCCGAAUGUAAAAAUAAAGGAAAUCCUUUGUUUUUAAAGUUGGGACCGCAAGGCCUGAUGCUUUACGAUGAGCCCGCAACCUAUCAGCUAGUUGGUGAAGAAUUGCUUA